rnacentral:lncRNA from 1 species
GGUUUCUCUAUCCUAUACCCAAUCUUUCACAAAGGGACAAUGGCAUCAAACUGACAUUAUCCCCCAAAUCACACAUGGCUCUUUCUAUAAUCUCGGAUCCUAUGACAGAUGGUUUGGAAAAACUCACAGGAUCCUUAAGUUUAGAUGGCAAUUUUUCUUGAAUGUGUGCAAUAAGUUUUCUAAACUGCUCAUCUAGCUUGGACUCAUCAAACUCUUGUGGGAAAGGAAUUUUUGGCUCAUAAGGUGGUGAUAUGUUAGGCUUUUCACUCUCUAUCACAACUUUCUCACUUUGUGGCUUUUCACUCUCUACCUCAACUGCAUUAGUUUUGGUUUCCACAACGGGGUCCUCUAAUUGUUUACCAUACCUAAGUGUAACAUCAUUCGGUUGACCCUUUGGGUUAGCCUUAGGUUGGCUCGGAAGGAUUCCGGAGGUUU